GUCGAACUGUCCUUCUCCAUAAGCAUAUUGAACUGCCAUUUCUUACCCUUGCCCUACCUGUCCCCACAGAUCUUGGCCCUGGUGGCGGUGUACUACCUCCACGAAGGACUUCCCAAUCACUGCAGGAAGGCAUGGAAAUCCCCAUCACCUCCCAAUGUCUGUGAGUAGGACCACUGCAGAUGGGCCUACACUGUACAAAAAUAAAACUACGAAGAAAGUUGGUCGACACACGGGGGUUUCAACGGGGCUCCUCGAAGAUCUCUGCACAUGGAUCUCCCGCCUGGAAGUUUACAAAUUUGACGACGUUAAAGCCUGGAAAAUUUGCAUGUUCUCCCCGUGUUCACAAGGGGUUUCCUCCAAAAAUAACCCCAACAGAAAAAACAUGCAAAAACAGAACAUUCUCCUGUCCGUCCGUGACCGAGACGGACGGUUCACUUGGUCCCCGGGCGCUGAGAAGCUGCCCACUGCUCCUGGGGGCCAACAUAUGAUGAUUGCAUAUGAAAUUGGAUCUGCAGCUGAGGUUUUUGCGAAAGCCAAAACACUUGUGCAGCCGCAGGUUGUGAAGAAAAAGCAAUAUCCACUGGCAGCUAAACAGUCAAAGCCUGCGCAUAUUAAGAAGUUAUCUGCAUGGAUGAUCAAACUCUGGCACCAGGUAUGUUCAUGUCAGCCAAAACUAAUUGCCAUAGUGGAAAUAUAAUAUUUUAGUGUCUAUAUGCAUGGCUACAUGUUCUAGUUAUGAAGUAGUCUGUAUACUGUAUGUACCAAUGGAAUUUCAACUGAAUUUUCUGUUUCUGCUGUUGUGUUUUGUAGAUGAAGAGGAUCAGGAUAUGUUUGAGGUAAUGGCAUGAUCUGGUCUGAUCUUGCACCCACAAAUUCUCAAAGAUACUGUCAGUGUAUUGGUUAGAAGUGUAGAAAAGAGGAUAUGCAUACUUUCACUGUUUGUGUUUGUAGGAUUCCAGUGCUGAGUCAACAAGAGCCAGUAGUGCAGGGACAGGCGCAACUGGAGACAUUUUGCAUCUCAGGGUCAACAGCGAGUCAACUCCAAGUCAACUGCAGUCAGGGUCAGCUGCAGCUGGGGCAGCGAUAGGUCAGAAUUUGACACCGGAGAGUGUGCAGUGGAGGGAAAUAAGAAGUCUCACAUGUCCAAUAGUGGAACUUCUUCCAGAGCAUCACACAAUCCCACUAUGCCCUCUUGUAAGCAUUUUGUUUUCUAACCAGAUAUUUUCUUUUCACAUGUCAUUUAUGGAAAGAUGAACAUCUCAUGUAUAAAGGGAAGGGACCACUGUUCCUCAAAACAAAAUGUUCAACCCAUAGGCCCGUUUGAGGUCACUAAAAGCUGCAUGUAGAACAAAGAGCAGGACAAUUUGGUGAGUUAACUGUUUCAGUUUAAUUUGCCCUAUGGGUUAGCUUCAGCUGUCAGUCCACUAUUUGAUCAAUGUUG
rnacentral:lncRNA from 1 species